UAUGGAACAGAGCGGUCAAGCGAACACGGUUGGAUUGGAGCACACACACAAAGUACAGUGUAUUAUGCAUUGAUCAUUUCGAAAGAUCGUGUUUCGAAGAGGGUCCCUUUUUAAGGGCAGAGAUGGGCAUCGCCACCACCCGUCGACUGGUGCUAAAAAAAGUACUAUUUUCAAGAGACCACAACCAGCCAUUAGUGGCAGUGCUUCGACAAGUUCAGACCAUCCCACGCCGUCCACAAGUGGACAGACCAUGCACAUGAGGUCUGCAUUUGCCAAAAAGGGAAAGGAAGAGGACAAUAGAUCAGAUCAUGGCCAGUAUGACUACAGCAUUAGUGGCGGAUGCGGUGGAUGAACCAAUGGCAAUGGCACUAGAUUUGCCUGAUGAGGAGGGCGAUCAUGAUCAGGGAAAUACAAGAGAACAAGGAUGCCAGGCGGACUGGGUACCGAUUGGGACAGCACCAACGGCAAUGACUAGUGUGGCAAGAGCACCCAAACAUCCUAGAUCAAAGGGUAUGUCUAUUUCGGUGAUGAACAUGAUUCUGCACAUCACAGUACACAUUACACAGCUGCCUGUGCAGAGUA